UACAGAGGGGGCAAGCGUUGUUCGGAAUUCCUGGGCGUAAAGGGCGCGUAGGCGGCCUGUUAAGUCGAACGUGAAAUCCCCGGGCUCAACCCGGGAACUGCGUCCGAUACUGGCAGGCUUGAAUCCGGGAGAGGGAUGCGGAAUUCCAGGUGUAGCGGUGAAAUGCGUAGAUAUCUGGAGGAACACCGGUGGCGAAGGCGGCAUCCUGGACCGGCAUUGACGCUGAGGCGCGAAAGCUAGGGGAGCAAACGGG
rnacentral:rRNA from 1 species